rnacentral:rRNA from 1 species
GAUCCUGGCUUAGGAUGAACGCUAGCGACAGGCUUAACACAUGCAAGUCGAGGGGCAGCAUAAAAGUAGCAAUACUUGGUGGCGACCGGCGCACGGGUGAGUAACGCGUAUGCAACCUACCUAUCAGAGGGGAAUAACCCGGCGAAAGUCGGACUAAUACCGCAUAAAACAGGGACACCGCAUGGUGAUAUUUGUUAAAGAAAUUCGCUGAUAGAUGGGCAUGCGUUCCAUUAGGUAGUUGGUGAGGUAACGGCUCACCAAGCCGACGAUGGAUAGGGGAACUGAGAGGUUGGUCCCCCACACUGGUACUGAGACACGGACCAGACUCCUACGGGAGGCAGCAGUGAGGAAUAUUGGUCAAUGGGCGAGAGCCUGAACCAGCCAAGUCGCGUGAAGGAAAGAAGGAUCUAUGGUUCGUAAACUUCUUUUGCAGGGGAAUAAAGUGCAGGACGUGUCCUGUUUUGUAUGUACCCUGAGAAUAAGGAUCGGCUAACUCCGUGCCAGCAGCUGC